rnacentral:snoRNA from 1 species
ACUGAGGAAUGAUGACAAGAAAAGGCCGAAUUGCAGUGUCUCCAUCAGCAGUUUGCUCUCUCUGGGCACACGAUGACAAAAUUUCCUACUAGUCUGACCUCAGU